GAUGAACGCUGGCGGCGAGCCUAAUACAUGCAAGUCGAGCGAACCACUUCGGUGGUGAGCGGCGAACGGGUGAGUAACACGUAGGUGAUCUGCCCAUCAGACGGGGACAACGAUUGGAAACGAUCGCUAAUACCGGAUAGGACGAAAGUUUAAAGGUGCUUCUGGCACCGCUGAUGGAUGAGCCUGCGGCGCAUUAGCUAGUUGGUAGGGUAAAGGCCUACCAAGGCGACGAUGCGUAGCCGACCUGAGAGGGUGAACGGCCACACUGGGACUGAGACACGGCCCAGACUCCUACGGGAGGCGGCAGUAGGGAAUCUUCGGCAAUGGGCGAAAGCCUGACCGAGCAACGCCGCGUGAAUGAUGAAGGCCUUCGGGUUGUAAAAUUCUGUUAUAAGGGAAGAACGACUUUAGUAGGAAAUGGCUAGAGUGUGACGGUACCUUAUGAGAAAGCCACGGCUAACUACGUGCCAGCAGCCGCCGUAA
rnacentral:rRNA from 1 species